UACGUAGGGCGCAAGCGUUGUCCGGAAUUAUUGGGCGUAAAGAGCUCGUAGGCGGCCUGUUGCGUCCGCUGUGAAAUCCCGGGGCUCAACCCCGGGCCUGCAGUGGAUACGGGCAGACUAGAGUGCGGUAGGGGAGACUGGAAUUCCUGGUGUAGCGGUGAAAUGCGCAGAUAUCAGGAGGAACACCGGUGGCGAAGGCGGGUCUCUGGGCCGUAACUGACGCUGAGGAGCGAAAGCGUGGGGAGCGAACAGG
rnacentral:rRNA from 1 species